rnacentral:misc_RNA from 1 species
AUCCUUGGGAGUGUACUGGGC